UGGCUUAGAUGGUAAAGCAUCUGCCUGCAGUGCAGGAGACCCAGGUUCAAUCCCUGG
rnacentral:tRNA from 1 species